AUCGUGCUGUGUGACUGGCGGCAUGAGAUGGGGAACCAUCGGGGAGCGCAGCACUGUUCCGCCGUCCGCCUGGGCCAACUCC
rnacentral:ncRNA from 2 species